GCUCUGCUCAGACUGCAUAAAAAUGAACCCUGCAGCACUUGCAGAGGGUAACCUGUGCACUCUUCUAAGUCUGGACAUGAAGAGACUUCUGAACUGGACAAAAAAAACCUUCACUCUUCUGUUCUCUGGCUUCUAGGCACCAGUUCUGGCAGAUGACUUUAACAUAGCCCCACAGGCAUCCUGGGGGCUUCCCUCUGAAUGCCCAAGCAACUGUAGAAAAACUGCACUUCUCCUUCCUUGCCUUGAAACACAGUAGGCUCACAGUGACAGGAGUCUGGGUUCUCCCUUUUGUUACAUAAUGCUUGGAAACAGUCACCAAAUGAGAUCCUGAGCUGCCUUUGGGCUCAGUCUCCAGGCACCAGCCACAAGAUAAAGCUUUUUCCCCAUGCAAAGUGUUAGCCAGGGAACCGCACAAAAAAAAAAAAAAAAAAAAGAAGGAAAAGGCUUAGUGAGGUUAACUACUUUCAGAAUCAAACAGUUGCAAACAGGAGGUUGUGCAACUUAAUUUUAAGCUGCACAUUUUAGUUUACUUCCACUCUCUGGUCUCAGCUUUAAGUAAGCUGAUCAGUAACUUCUUCCAGCCUUCAUCCACAGUAGCAUCAUAGAUGAGGAACUGGAGCAAUGCAAAUACGGAGGAAACUGCUACGGUGUCAAACAAGCUUUACCCAGAGAUGCUGCUGCAUCGAGAUGCAGGAUAUUGAGCCCCUAGGUUAUUUCUUCCUCUGCUGUGCACAGAAAACAAAUGUAUGUGGAAGAAACAGCUGCUGCAAUUGGAGGAAAAAAGCGUGAGCCCACAAAGUACUUUCUGUUAGCAGGAAAAGGCAUAAGCACUCGAACAGCACAGAAGAGGAGUUAUCGAUAAGUUUUGUGCUUGAGUCCUGUAUCAUCCUGGUUUAUUUCAGAGGAAUUUAGCCAGAAGGAUGACAAUUAUUGAUGGAUCAUAAAAACUGGAGCUAAAAGAC